CCAUGGCGUCGCUCCUGUGCUGUGGGCCUAAGCUGGCCGCCUGUGGCAUCGUCCUCAGCGCCUGGGGAGUGAUCAUGUUGAUAAUGCUCGGGAUAUUUUUCAAUGUCCAUUCUGCUGUGUUAAUUGAGGAUGUCCCCUUCACAGAGAAAGAUUUUGAUCUACCUCUGUAAAAUGGACACCAUGAUAGAACUCAGCUGGUAUGAUUCUCGGAAAGACUAGUAGAAGUCAAAGUGCUUUAGCAUGGCGUCUGAUACAUAGAACUUGCAUAUUGGAUGCUCUGAAUGGUUUACAUUUCCCUGCUCACUCGCCACCUUCAGGAACGGCCCUCAGAACAUAUACAACCUGUACGAGCAAGUCAGCUACAACUGUUUCAUCGCCGCGGGCCUCUACCUCCUCCUCGGGGGCUUCUCCUUCUGCCAAGUUCGUCUCAAUAAGCGCAAGGAAUACAUGGUGCGCUAGAGCGCAGUCCGACUCUCCCCAUUCCCCUCCUUAUUUAAAGACUCCUCAGUCCAUCUGUUCCACUCAUCUGGUGUCCUUUGGGACUGUUACCCUGGCGAGACGUCAUCCCUGGCCCUGCAAAACUGCUGCCCAACCCCUGGAGGGGACCGGGGGUGACCGCGCCCUGUCCUGAACUACAAUAAAAAGAAGCGGUUCUCCU
rnacentral:lncRNA from 1 species